rnacentral:tRNA from 1 species
GCUAGCGUAGCAGAGCCUGGUAAAUGCAG